rnacentral:rRNA from 1 species
CAAUAGCGUAUAUUAAAGUUGUUGCAGUUAAAAAGCUCGUAGUUGGAUUUCUAGAUAAGUGGGUACUUGUACUUUGCUUGUCUACCAGUCAUAGACUGUUACUGUGAGAAAAUUAGAGUGUUUCAAGCAGGCUGUUGCAGGAAUACAUUAGCAUGGAAUAACGAAUGUGUCUGGAAUAUUGGUUAAUUCUAGAUUACGAUUAAUAGGGACAGUUGGGGGAGUUAGUAUUUAAUUAGUCAGAGGUGGAAAUUACUUUGGAGUUUAUUUAAAGUAACUAACGUAAUGCGAAAGACAUUUCUUCAAGGAAUGUUUUCUAUUAAAUUACAAGAAACGAAAAGAAUUGGGGUAGUCAAAGAAUGAUCAGAUACCA